rnacentral:rRNA from 1 species
GACAGAGGGUGCAAACGUUGUUCGGAAUUACUGGGCGUAAAGGGCUCGUAGGCGGCCAACUAAGUCAUACGUGAAAUCCCUCAGCUUAACUGGGGAACUGCGUGUGAUACUGGAUGGCUUGGAUGUGGGAGAGGGAUGCGGAAUUCCAGGUGUAGCGGUGAAAUGCGUAGAUAUCUGGAGGAACACCCGUGGCGAAGGCGGCUCUCUGGAACGCAACUGACGCUGAGACGCGAAAGCGUGGGGAGCAACAGG